AAUACAGCGACAAUUUGUUGGUAAAAUGUUUUUCAAAGAAAAACUUUUCUAUUACAGAUAAUGCAGAACAAAAGAAUAUCGUUAUGGUAAAACAAUUGAAAGAGGACUAAUAAAUUUGGUAUAGUAAAUGCAGUUUUAUAAGCACAAUGUGUUUUACAUCAAAAAAGAAUGAUAUUUGUUAUACUUUUUGGAUUGUACUGCAUCGAUCAAUCCCAAUCCAUCUUUAAAUCAAUUUUAUGAUGCAUUUAUUUUUUAUACAUGUUCGCACAUGUAUAUAUGUGAUAUUUGAUUAUAUAUUGUUACCAAUGAAAUAAUAUUAUUCAAAAUAUGUAAUAGAUUUGUUAUUUUCACAAGUGGACAUUAUGCAUAUAUAAUAAUUAUGCUUCAAUUAAUAAAACCCCAUAAUGCAUACAAAAAGAAACUAACGGAUAAGAUAUAAAAAGAAAAUCAAUAAAAGGUAUUACAAACAAAAGACUACAUUUGUAAGUAUUGAAAAAUGCAUGAUUCUAUUUUAAAAAAAUUAUCACAAACUUUGCAUCUUCUACGUAUUAUCAUCUAAUAAAAAAUCAAACAACUUGUACAUCAAACAUUUCAUCAUAUCAUCAAUAUUGUAAGAAUUAUACAUGUGGCCAAUUUUAAAUGAAUAAUUGGAACUAAUUAAAUUCUUAAAAUUGCAGGAACAUGAUCAGAUUUUGUCUCUUAUUAAUUACUUCUUAAUUAUUUAUGUUAUUUCAUAUUAUUAUUUUACAAGUAUUGCA